rnacentral:lncRNA from 1 species
AAGAGCAUGAGUUAUAGAGUCAGCAGAGGGAUUUAAAUAAGGUCAGGCCAGUUGGGAGUUCCAUGUUCUUGGUCAAAUUUCCCUUUCUGAGUAUCUAUUUCCUCCUACAAAAAUGCUGGGAUUACAGACGUGAGCCACUGCUCCCGUCCGGUAUUUUUAAAUGUAAGUUUUUCUUCUUUUCCUUGCAUAGCAUUUAAGGCCCUCUCCAAAUUCUGUCUCCCAACCACUUUCCCACCCUGGUCAUUCUUUGACAGUGAUUUAUUAAGCACAGCCUCGAAAGCAUGGAGGUGGCCUGGGGUAGGCACUCGGGCUUCAGUGGUGAAUGAAGCAGUCGUGACCCUUCUGACUUACUGAGUACAGCAGUCUCUCAGCUCUGCACUUUUACUCAAGACCUGCACUG